GACGAACGCUGGCGGCGUGCUUAACACAUGCAAGUCGAACGGUGAAGGUGGAGCUUGCUCCGCCGGAUCAGUGGCGAACGGGUGAGUAACACGUGGGCAACCUGCCCCUGACUUCGGGAUAACUCCUCGAAAGAGGUGCUAAUACCGGAUACGAAUCCUGCAGGCAUCUGCGGGAUUGGAAAGUUUUUCGGUCAGGGAUGGGCCCGCGGCCUAUCAGCUUGUUGGUGAGGUAGUGGCUCACCAAGGGCACGACGGGUAGCCGGCCUGAGAGGGGGACCGGCCACACUGGGAAUGAGACACGGCCCAGACUGCUACGGGAGGCAGCAGUGGGGAAUAUUGCGCAAUGGGCGAAAGCCUGACGCAGCAACGCCGCGUGAGGGAUGACGGCCUUCGGGUUGUAAACCUCUUUCAGCAGGGAAGAAGCGAAAGUGACGGUACCUGCAGAAGAAGCACCGGCUAACUACGUGCCAGCCGCCGCCGUAA
rnacentral:rRNA from 1 species